CCUUCAUUUCACUCCCAGAUCGUGAAUUUUACAACACCCAAGACUUCGACCCCCACGGUCAUUGUCUCAGCGUCUUAUCUUAAUCCAGUCCCCCAACAUAACAGCAUUGCCACUUGGGUAGAGCAAAUUACAACUAAAGGCUUCAAAGUGUGUCUCAAAGAACUUCAUAAUCAGAAUGGUUAUGACCCCGUGAAGGUGGCUGCUCUUAUCAUUGGUUCCUAACGGAUUACACAAUUACAACUCCGAUGCACUGAAAUGGAAAUGGCUCUGGAGUGCUGAAGGAAUAAAUAAUGUAAAACAGACCUUUCAUGAAUAUGAUUGAAUUAAAUAUAAUAUGAUUGUAACACAAAUUAUAAACUCAUCAUGGAUGAGAAAGUGUUUAAUGGCACUAUAAAUCAAAGUUGGAACAGAAUAAAAUUAUGUACAUCUAAUACAGUGUUUUUCUUUUGUUCUUGCUAACUUAGAACCGACAUUUUGUUAUUUAAUUUGCCAAUCCCCUUAGCUUCAAACGAUUUAAUAUCUCUUAUUGUUUUUUUUUUUUGAUCAAUUAAAGUUCUUUUAUUUGUAGCUGAAAGAAAAUAUUUUUUCCAUAAGGCAGUUCAA